rnacentral:rRNA from 1 species
ACGGGUGAGUAAUGUCUGGGGAUCUGCCCGAUAGAGGGGGAUAACCACUGGAAACGGUGGCUAAUACCGCAUAACGUCGCAAGACCAAAGAGGGGGACCUUCGGGCCUCUCACUAUCGGAUGAACCCAGAUGGGAUUAGCUAGUAGGCGGGGUAAUGGCCCACCUAGGCGACGAUCCCUAGCUGGUCUGAGAGGAUGACCAGCCACACUGGAACUGAGACACGGUCCAGACUCCUACGGGAGGCAGCAGUGGGGAAUAUUGCACAAUGGGCGCAAGCCUGAUGCAGCCAUGCCGCGUGUAUGAAGAAGGCCUUCGGGUUGUAAAGUACUUUCAGCGGGGAGGAAGGCGACAGGGUUAGUAACUCUGUCGAUUGACGUUACCCGCAGAAGAAGCACCGGCUAACUCCGUGCCAGCAGCCGCGGUAAUACGGAGGGUGCAAGCGUUAAUCGGAAUUACUGGGCGUAAAGCGCACGCAGGCGGUCUGUUAAGUCAGAUGUGAAAUCCCCGGGCUUAACCUGGGAACUGCAUUUGAAACUGGCAGGCUUGAGUCUUGUAGAGGGGGGUAGAAUUCCAGGUGUAGCG